rnacentral:rRNA from 1 species
CAGUCGCCGCGGGAAUACGGAGGGUGCAAGCGUUAAUCGGAAUUACUGGGCGUAAAGCGCACGCAGGCGGUUUGUUAAGUCAGAUGUGAAAUCCCCGGGCUCAACCUGGGAAUGGCAGUGGAUACUGGCAAGCUAGAGUGUGUCAGAGGAUGGUGGAAUUCCCGGUGUAGCGGUGAAAUGCGUAGAGAUCGGGAGGAACAUCAGUGGCGAAGGCGGCCAUCUGGGACAACACUGACGCUGAGGCACGAAAGCGUGGGGAGCAAACAGGAUUAGAUACCCCCGUAGUCCCUGUCUCUUACAC